rnacentral:rRNA from 1 species
UACGAACCGUCCAAACGUUAUUCGGAUUCAUGGGGCUUAAAGGGUACGUAGGCGGCGCUAUCAGUCGGGUGUGAAAGCCCUCGGCUCAACCGAGGAACUGCGCCCGAUACUGUAGUGCUUGAGGGAGACGGAGGUAAGCGGAACUGAUGGUGGAGCGGUGAAAUGCGUUGAUAUCAUCAGGAACACCGGUGGCGAAAGCGGCUUACUGGGUCUCUUCUGACGCUGAGGUACGAAAGCUAGGGGAGCGAACGGG